GGCGACGUAGCCAAGUGGUAAGGCGAGGGUCUGCAAAACCCUUAUUCACCGGUUCGAAUCCGGUCGUCGCCUCCA
rnacentral:tRNA from 1 species